rnacentral:rRNA from 1 species
UAGGGAAUCUUCGGCAAUGGGGGCAACCCCUGACCGAGCAACGCCGCGUGAGUGAAGAAGGUUUUCGGAUCGUAAAGCUCUGUUGUAAGAGAAGAACGUGUGUGAGAGUGGAAAGUUCACACAGUGACGGUAACUUACCAGAAAGGGGACGGCUAACUACGUGCCAC